GGGUCAGUAGGUUGGUCGUGCCACCGGUACGUACUGGUCUCACUGAUUCCUCCUUCCUGAAGAACCGUAAUGCCAUUAAUUGGUGUUGCGGGGAAACAGGACUAUUACUUUGAAAAAAUUAGAGUGUUUAAAGCAAGCUAACGCUUGAAUACAUUAGCAUGGAAUAAUGAAAUAGGACGAUCGAUCCUAUUUUGUUGGUUUCUAGGAUUGACGUA
rnacentral:rRNA from 1 species